CGUCCCCGCGCUGACCCCACGUCUCCCCCCAGGACAUCCUGUGCCGCCUGGAGCACACGACGCUGCGCAAGGUGACCGCCAACACGGCCAUCUACUACGACCCCAACCCGCAGAGCACGGUGGUGGCCGAGGACCAGGAGUGGGUCAACGUCUACUACGAGAUGCCCGACUUCGACGUGAGCCGCAUCUCGCCCUGGCUGCUGCGCGUCGAGCUCGACCGCAAGCACAUGACGGACCGCAAGCUCACCAUGGAGCAGAUCGCCGAGAAGAUCAACGCCGGCUUUGGGGACGACCUGAACUGCAUCUUCAACGACGACAACGCCGAGAAGCUCGUGCUGCGGAUCCGCAUCAUGAACAGCGACGAGAACAAGAUGCAGGAGGAGGAGGAAGUUGUGGACAAGAUGGACGACGACGUCUUCCUGCGGUGCAUCGAGUCCAACAUGCUGACGGACAUGACGCUGCAGGGCAUCGAGCAGAUCAGCAAGGUGGGGGGGGGCACCCCUGGGUGCUGAGGGGUGCGAGAAGGUCCAGGACACCUGUGGUGGUGCCCAGGGAGCACCCAUGGGUGCCCAGGCUCUCGAGACAAGCCUGGGGAACACGUGGAGGUCUCCACGGGGGUGUUCUGGAGGUCCAGGCUGCUAGCGGUGGUGCCCGCAAGCACGUGUGGGUGCCCAGGAGGUGCCGGGGAGCACCCAUGGGUGCUCGUGUGGGUGCCCAGGCUCCUAAUGCACGCUUAGGGUGGCCAUGAAGGUCUCCAGGGGGGUGUUUUGAAGGUCCAGGGUGCUGAUGGUGGUGCCCAUAGGUGCUUGGGGGUGUCCAGGGAGCACCCAUGGGUGCUCUUG
rnacentral:lncRNA from 1 species